rnacentral:rRNA from 1 species
GGUCAAGUUAUUAAGGGUGCAGGGCGGAUGCCUUGGCACUAGGAGCCGAUGAAGGACGUGAUAAGCUGCGAUAAGCUUCGGGGAGUUGCACGUAAACUUUGAUCCGAAGAUUUCCGAAUGAGGAAACUCACUUAGAGUAAUGUCUAAGUAUCAUUAAGUGAAUACAUAGCUUAAUGAGGGGAACUCAGGGAACUGAAACAUCUAAGUACCUGAAGGAAGAGAAAGAAAUUCGAUUCCGUAAGUAGCGGCGAGCGAACGCGGAUUAGCCCAAACCAAUAAAGUUUUCUUUAUUGGGGUUGCGGACAUAUCAUAACGAAGAGGUAUCGUAAUUGAAGAGGUUUGGAAAGACCCACCACAGAAGGUAAUAGUCCUGUAUGUUAAACGAGAAGACUUCAGAUAUGAUCCAGAGUACCACGGGACACGUGAAACCCUGUGGGAAGCAGGAGGGACCACCCUCCAAGGCUAAAUACUACCUAGUGACCGAUAGCGUAUAGUACCGUGAGGGAAAGGUGAAAAGAACCCCGGGAGGGGAGUGAAAUAGAACCUGAAACCCUGCACUUACAAGCUGUGGAAGCACAUUUCUUGUGUGACCGCGUACUUUUUGUAGAACGGGCCAACGAGUUACGUUAAGUAGCAAGGUUAAGCACUUAAGGUGUGGAGCCGUAGCGAAAGCGAGUUUUAACUGAGCGUUCAGUUACUUGACGUAGACCCGAAACCGGGCGACCUACCCAUGAGCAGGAUGAAGCGAAAGUAAAAUUUCGUGGAGGUCCGAACCCACGAGCGUUGAAAAGCUCGGGGAUGACUUGUGGGUAGCGGUGAAAUUCCAAUCGAGCCCGGAGAUAGCUGGUUCUCCCCGAAAUAGCUUUAGGGCUAGCCUCAAGGUGAGAGAUACGGAGGUAGAGCACUGAAUGUCCUAGGGGGUAUUGCACCUACCGAAGACUAUCAAACUCCGAAUGCCGUCAUCUUAUACUUGGGAGUCAGACUGUGGGUGAUAAGAUUCAUAGUCGAAAGGGCAACAGCCCAGAUCGUCAGCUAAGGUCCCUAAAUGUAAGUUAAGUGGUAAAGGAUGUGGGAUUGCACAGACAACCAGGAUGUUGGCUUAGAAGCAGCCACUCAUUCAAAGAGUGCGUAAUAGCUCACUGGUCGAGUGAUCCUGCGCCGAAGAUUUCCGGGGCUAAAACUUACUACCGAAGCUACGGCAUCAGUAAUGAUGGGUAGGGGAGCUUCCCAUACGGGUUGAAGCAUGACCGUAAGGACAUGUGGACAGUAUGGGAGUGAGAAUGUUGGCAUGAGUAGCGAGAUGUGGGUGAGAAUCCCACAGGCCGUAAACCCAAGGUUUCCAGGGGAAGGUUCGUCCGCCCUGGGUUAGUCGGGACCUAAGCUGAGGCCGAAAGGCGUAGGUGAUGGACAACAGGUUGAUAUUCCUGUACUACCGAUAACCGUUUGAGAGAAGGGAUGACACAGUAGGAUAAGCUAAGCACACUGUUGGUUAUGUGUGCCCAAGCAUUGAGGCAGUCAAAGUAGGCAAAUCCGCUUUGAUAAUGCUGGGAUGUGAUGGGGAGCGAAAUUUAGUAGCGAAGUAGCUGAUUUCACACUGUCAAGAAAAGUCUCUAUCGAGGUUAAAGGUACCCGUACCGCAAACCGACACAGGUGGGUGAGGAGAGUAUCCUAAGGCCAGCGAGAGAACUGUUGUUAAGGAACUCGGCAAAAUGACCCCGUAACUUAGGGAUAAGGGGUGCCACCAUCAGGUGGCCGCAGAGAAUAGGCCCAAGCGACUGUUUACCAAAAACAUAGGUUUCUGCUAAGUCGCAAGACGAUGUAUAGGAGCUGACGCCUGCCCGGUGCUGGAAGGUUAAGGGGAUCUGUUAGAGCAAUCGAAGCAGUGAACUUAAGCCCCAGUAAACGGCGGCCGUAACUAUAACGGUCCUAAGGUAGCGAAAUUCCUUGUCGGGUAAGUUCCGACCCGCACGAAAGGCGUAACGAUUUGGGCACUGUCUCAACAACAGACUCGGUGAAAUUGUAAUUCCGGUGAAGAUGCCGGAUACCUGCGACAGGACGGAAAGACCCCAUGGAGCUUUACUGUAGCUUGACAUUGGGUUUUGGUACUACAUGUACAGGAUAGGUGGGAGGCUUUGAAACCAGGACGCCAGUUUUGGCGGAGCCAUCCUUGGGAUACCACCCUUGUAGUACUGGGACUCUAACCAUAGGCCAUGAAUCUGGUCUUGGGACACUGUCAGGUGGGCAGUUUGACUGGGGCGGUCGCCUCCCAAAAGGUAACGGAGGCGCUCAAAGGUUCUCUCAGUACGGUCGGAAAUCGUACGUAGAGUGUAAAGGCAAAAGAGAGCUUGAUUGCAAGACAUACAGGUCGAGCAAGGAUGAAAAUCGGACUUAGUGAUCCGGUGGUUCUGCGUGGAAGGGCCAUCGCUCAACGGAUAAAAGCUACCCUGGGGAUAACAGGCUUAUCUCCCCCAAGAGUCCACAUCGACGGGGAGGUUUGGCACCUCGAUGUCGGCUCAUCACAUCCUGGGGCUGUAGUAGGUCCCAAGGGUUGGGCUGUUCGCCCAUUAAAGUGGUACGCGAGCUGGGUUCAGAACGUCGUGAGACAGUUCGGUCCCUAUCCGUCGCAGGCGUAGGAAAUUUGAGAAGACCUGUCCUUAGUACGAGAGGACCGGGAUGGACGUACCUCUGGUGUACCAGUUGUUCUGCCAAGGGCAUGGCUGGGUAGCUAUGUACGGAAUGGAUAAGCGCUGAAAGCAUCUAAGCGCGAAGCCAACUUCAAGAUAAGAUUUCCCACCGCAAGGGUAAGAUCCCAGAAAGACUAUCUGGUUGAUAGGUCGAAGGUGUAAGUGCAGCAAUGUAUUUAGCUUAUCGAUACUAAUAGGUCGAGGACUUGACCAA